UACAGAGGGUGCGAGCGUUAAUCGGAAUUACUGGGCGUAAAGCGCGCGUAGGCGGCUUUGCAAGUCGAGUGUGAAAUCCCCGGGCUCAACCUGGGAACUGCAUUCGAGACUGCAUUGCUAGAGUAUGGGAGAGGGAAGUGGAAUUUCAGGUGUAGCGGUGAAAUGCGUAGAUAUGCGGAGGAACACCGAUGGCGAAGGCAAUCCCCUGGGCCUGCACUGACGCUCGAUGCACGAAAGCGUGGGGAGCAAACAGG
rnacentral:rRNA from 1 species